AACGAACGCACUUUCAGAUUUAAUGAUAGCGAGAUUCAGGGAACAAAAUCUUGAGGUCAAAUGCAGGCUGGCGAGACGUUACAAUUUGAAUGUGAGCAACUAAAUUGGUGCAGAAUUUCCCUGAAACUCUAUACUACAAUGUCAAAAGCUGUAUUUAAAUUGUACAGGCUGGAGGGUCUUUGUGCUGUCACAAAGUAGGCAUUUUUCCUGGCUGUACAAAACAUAUAUAAUCAACAAAAAGAAAUAUCUCUGUAUGGUAAUCUUGGAGCCAUUGUCUGAAUCAGUGUCUUCAAGUCGAAUUUGGUGUCUCUUCCUUACCUUGGACUAUUUGGCUUCACCUAAUUCUUUAUCCAACAGGUAUGGCUUCCACAGCUGUGAUUUGGUACUGAUAUGAGAAGGUAAAAUGAAUCCAGGACCAUAAAAUUCUAAUUCAAAGGGCACCCAUGUUGUUG
rnacentral:misc_RNA from 1 species